rnacentral:rRNA from 1 species
CGAAACCCUAAGGCGCAAUGAAAGUGAAGGUCAGGCAUCGCACUGACUGAGGCAGGAUCCGUCCGGGUGAGCGAAGCUCUUCUUCUCUUCGCGGGUUCGUCCCGCGGGGGAGCUCGGCGGCGCACUGCCAGCCCAUCUCGGCCGCUUCCCGUCGGCGAGGUGGAGCUAGAGCGCACACGUUGGGACCCGAAAGAUGGUGAACUAUGCUCGGGCAGGACGAAGCCAGAGGAAACUCUGGUGGAGGUCCGUAGCGAUUCUGACGUGCAAAUCGAUCGUCGGACCCGAGUAUAGGGGCGAAAGACUAAUCGAACCGUCUAGUAGCUGGUU